ensembl:lncRNA
GGGGGAGAUGUCCUCAGGAUAAGGGGAAAAUGUCCAGACAUCAAUACAGCCGCUGAAUAUAAACAGACAGACAGACAGGGGGAAAAAACACAGUACACACACAUUUUUCCACUUCUCUUUUCAGUUAGUUUAUUUUUUCAAUUGCUUAAUAAAAAAAAAACCAAAAAACGAAUUGACGACCAACCACAAAUUCUACAGCUCAUCAUCACCCUCUGGCAGGGAGACUAGCUUGCCUCGCUUGAGUAACCACGCCAACACCUCCCAUCUCAUUCUGUCUCCCUCCUUCCAAUGUCAAUGACAUGCAAAUGGAGGUGCAUUGCAUUCAAUAGUCGGGUACGUCACGUGACCUAAAGGUCAAGUGUCGGAGGGCGCCGGGAGGCCCAGUGUCACAGAUGAGGAAGGACCCCAUUGUGUUUCAAUGAGUCACUACAUUGCAUAUGGAACCAGAAUCGGCCAAUAGCACUACAGCAUAGCUUUCAAUCUAAAAUAUCACAGUAAUACCACACUUACCAGGCAAGAGAUCAUCGGUAUCACAAUGGAUUCAGUCACUUAAAAUCAAAACCCAUUGAUAAAAUAAAAACUAAAUGAACAUUUUAAAUAAAAACCUCAAAUAAAAUAAAUAAAAUCAGCUCAUAGGCAUGCGCACACUUAGACGGAUGGGUUUGUAUAGAUCUCCCAACUCAUAUAUAUAUAUAUAUAUAUAUGUUUCAAUUCAAGACCCUCCUAGUGACUUGGGUGUGUGACUAAACUUAAAGAUUUGGAUUCUUGAUGCAAGACAGGAAAAAAAAAUAACACAAAACUUCCCAGAGAGAUUCAAUUCAAUGGGAAAUCAGGAGCAAGUAACACUAGUAGUCAUAGGACUGACAGACUGUCCCAGACAGAGCAGUUCAUUCAACAUGACCUGAAGCCAUAGUAAGAAGACAUAGAAAGGCCACCUUCCUAUCCACACAACCCUAUAGCUAAAUAGGAUGUAGCCAUAGUCUCUGUUUGUACCAUUCCCGCAGAGCACUCGUUCUGUUUUCUUAAAUACGGGCCAUUACUGUACAGUGGAUUACAUACAACCCAUCAAACGAUAGAAUGAUGAGUGGGUUGGUAAACGUCAAUAUCGUGGUAAACACAUUUGCAGAAGCCAGAAUAAUGCGAAUCACAUACUAGCAACCUACAUUAUAUCAUAAAAAUAAUCUGUAAAAUAACACAGAUUAAAAGAUUUCAUCAUUAUACAGAUAUAAAGACUUGCAAAAUGGCUGCGUGAACAGGAGACCAUUUGAAGAAGGAUUUUAUCAUGCUUGUUUCUUCCUCCUCUUAAAGGAGCUACAUUUCAUUUUGCAAGAAAUAAUAAACUCAAAUUCGGCCACUCCGUCUCAACAAGCACUCUCUACCUCCCAGCCUUCAUUUUUAAAACAGGACGCAACUCCAUAAAUGUAUUAUUAUAGAUGACAAGGCCACUCUUCUGACUGACUUCAAACCGACCACGUCUAUGAUUCUUCCUUCUAGCCAAACCUUCCCUCUUCGUCAGGUCAACCAACACCUCAAACCUUCCCUCUUCGUCAGGUCAACCAACUCCUCAAACCUUCCCUCUUAGUCUAGUCAACCAACUCCUCAAACCUUCCCUCUUAGUCUAGUCA